AUACGGAGGAUGCAAGCGUUUUCCGGAUUUAUUGGGUUUAAAGGGUGCGUAGGCGGUUUGCUAAGCAGGAGGUGAAAUGCCGGCGCUCAACGUCGGAAGUGCCUCCCGAACUGGUGGACUGGAAUGACUCUGCCGUGGGAGGAAUGGGUAGUGUAGCGGUGAAAUGCUUAGAGAUUACACAGAACACCGAUUGCGAAGGCAUCUCACGAAGGGUUGAUUGACGCUGAGGCACGAAAGCGUGGGGAUCAAACAGGAUUAGAUACCCUGGUAGUCCACGCAGUAAACGAUGAUGGCUAACCGCUGGUUUUUUCGGAUCAGUGGCCAAGCGAAAGCGAUAAGCCAUCCACCUGGGGAGUACGACCGCAAGGUUGAAACUCAAAGGAAUUGACGGGG
rnacentral:rRNA from 1 species